GACGAACGCUGGCGGCGUGCUUAACACAUGCAAGUCGAACGGAAAGGCCCUGCUUUUGUGGGGUGCUCGAGUGGCGAACGGGUGAGUAACACGUGAGUAACCUGCCCUUGACUUUGGGAUAACUUCAGGAAACUGGGGCUAAUACCGGAUAGGAGCUCCUGCUGCAUGGUGGGGGUUGGAAAGUUUCGGCGGUUGGGGAUGGACUCGCGGCUUAUCAGCUUGUUGGUGGGGAAGUGGCUUACCAAGGCUUUGACGGGUAGCCGGCCUGAGAGGGUGACCGGCCACAAUGGGACUGAGAUACGGCCCAGACUCCUACGGGAGGCAGCAGUGGGGAAUAUUGCACAAUGGGCGGAAGCCUGAUGCAGCAACGCCGCGUGCGGGAUGACGGCCUUCGGGUUGUAAACCGCUUUCGCCUGUGACGAAGCGUGAGUGACGGUAAUGGGUAAAGAAGCACCGGCUAACUACGUG
rnacentral:rRNA from 1 species